GAUGAACGCUGGCGGCGUGCCUAAUACAUGCAAGUCGAGCGAACAGAUAAGGAGCUUGCUCCUUUGACGUUAGCGGCGGACGGGUGAGUAACACGUGGGUAACCUACCUAUAAGACUGGGAUAACUUCGGGAAACCGGAGCUAAUACCGGAUAACAUUUGGAACCGCAUGGUUCUAAAGUGAAAGAUGGUUUUGCUAUCACUUAUAGAUGGACCCGCGCCGUAUUAGCUAGUUGGUAAGGUAACGGCUUACCAAGGCAACGAUACGUAGCCGACCUGAGGGGGUGAUCGGCCACACUGGAACUGAGACACGGUCCAGACUCCUACGGGAGGCAGCAGUAGGGAAUCUUCCGCAAUGGGCGAAAGCCUGACGGAGCAACGCCGCGUGAGUGAUGAAGGGUUUCGGCUCGUAAAACUCUGUUAUUAGGGAAGAACAAAUGUGUAAGUAACUGUGCACGUCUUGACGGUACCUAAUCAGAAAGCCACGGCUAACUACGUG
rnacentral:rRNA from 1 species